rnacentral:lncRNA from 1 species
UUCUGUUUCGAUCAAAAAAAUAAAAUUCUGGGCGUUGUGAUUUGAUUUUGAUUUUGAUUUUGAUUUGCUACUACUACCUUUGGCGCCGGCGGCAGUUGUUUGCUUUUCCGAUAGAUGCGUCUUUUUCUUGGCCGAGGAUUCCGAUUUCGUAAAGCCGAGAUCUUUUCUGUUGGAUUUUACUUGCCGAUAGAAAUCCUGGACGUUGUUGGUCGGCAUCUUUUUUCGGUGUCAAUUCCCAAAAUGGUGUCAUUUAACCAAAUUGGUCCAAGUCUUCUGACUCUUGUGACGUGUCUCACUUGCAUCGUCCUCUAAAUUUUCAUUAUAACUAAGAAUCACGACGUGGCUCAUGUAUUUUGGAACUCAAACUCGAUAGGAUUAAAAUUUAACUCGAAUUAAAAUGAAAAUGAACGAUUAAAAUUAAUUUACAAGAUUAUAUUCUUAUGAAGUAUUUUUUUUACUAUACAAUUCAAUUAAUUCAGGUGGUAACUAUUAUAACUGAAUUCAGAAUUCAAAUUUUAUUUUAUAUAUUUUAAUUUUAAUUUACAUAUAACAAGUAGCUUAUCAAAAAAAUUAUUUAUUAUUAUUGAUAAUGUACCGACAAAUUUCAAAACAAAUACUGGAAAACAUUUAUUAUAAAAGGGUGGGCUUAAGUCAUAAUUUAUUUCAAUCAACUAUAUAUUUUGUCAAUUGCCAUUUUCUAGUAUUGAUCACAUGAAAUCCAUCAAUUCCGACGAGGACCAUCGAUUUCUCACUCUAAUAUAUAUAACCAUCUUUCUUCUUUUCUGGAUCGAGACUGGAGUGCUGGGUUGUGCAGCUAGCUAGCUAGAGACAUGGUCGGCAGUGCAUACUGGUCCUCGGACUUGGUCGUUAGAAAUGGAUUGAGAUAUUGUUGGUACUUGUUCAAGCAAGUUAACUAUAUGGAGAGAUUGAUGGAAAUAUGGAUAAUGGCGAGAGUCGGAUUCAUCGCUCCAGUUUUGAAUGUCGUAAUUCCGAUAUUCUUGACGCUAUCUGUGUUGAUACUUGUGGAAAAGAUCUUCUUUGGACUUACAACCCUCUACGUCAAGGUGUUCAAGCAAAAGCCAAAGACCAGAUACAGAUGGGAAGCUAUAAAACCAGAUCUCGAGUCCGGAAACAUAGCUUUUCCGAUGGUUCUCGUUCAAAUUCCGAUGUACAAUGAGAAAGAGGUCGAUUUAAAUCUUAUCUCCAGACUUCAAUUCUUCAAUAUGCAUAUCACACGUACUAGUUGCAUGCAGGUGUACAGAAAAUCCAUAAGAGCAACAACUGCAUUGGAUUGGCCGUCCGACAGGCUCAUUAUUCAAGUUUUAGACGAUUCAACUGACUGUUUUACCAAGGUAAUUUUAUUCCGACCGACGAGGCAAAUUAACUUUAUAUGUCCAAUAUUUUAAGUAAAUAUAUACAUGCAGAAAUUGGUAAAAUCGGAGUGUGAAAUAUGGGAGAAGAAAGGAUUGAACAUAAGGUAUCAGGUGAGGAAUGGAAGACAAGGAUACAAGGCAGGUGCUCUAAAAGAAGGAAUGAAGCAAUCAGACGUUCAAGAUUGUGAAUACGUCGCCAUGUUUGAUGCUGAUUUCGAACCUGAAUCUGAUUUUCUUAUCAGAUCUGUUCCUUAUCUUAUCCAUAACCCAGAGUUGGCUCUCGUUCAAGGCAGAUGGAAAUUUUGUAAGAUUCAUGUAACAUUUAAGUAUUUUCACUACCUAGUUCAUCCGUUCAUAAAGUUGAAAUUUCGUAAAAUAUUACAUAAAUUUAUUGCAGCAAAUGCAGAUGCGUGCUUAAUGACCAGAAUCCAAGAAAUGUCAUUAGAUUAUCACUUUAAGAUUGAACAAGAAGCUGGUUCUAAAAGAAGUAAUUAAACCUGUGUUUAACUCUGUUAAAUACAACUUGGACUAAUCUGUAAUUAAAUAAAAGUAAAAGAUUGAUAUGAAAUAACAUAAAUACAAAGGUUGGACUCAUAAGCAAUUAGAUAUAAAUAAGAGUUCACUCUGUAAUUAUGUAAUUGGAUCAAUAUAUAAUUAACUGUGAAUGAGAUAUCAAUCUAUAAAUAACACAGUUAAUAUUUCUAUUCAGAUUGGAUCCGUGUGUAAUUAUUUGUGACUUUAAGGUGCAGGUUCGUCUGAAUAUAAGAAUGCAGGGGCGAAGCUGCAAAGUUUUAAAUAAGCACGUGAAAGAUGGAAUUAGUUGAGAUUGCAGGGACAAGGCUGUAAAGAUUCCAAUGAACACGUGAAAGAUUAGUCUAAGUAAAUUCAGUUAGUCAGGAUUAGUUUUUCAGUUAAUCAUGAUUAGUUGUAAUAAUAAAAAUUAGACUUUUAUACUUUUUAAAUACACUGAAAAACGACUCAUUAGUUUAAUACAAAUGAUAUAAUCCUUGAUUAAGGAUAAUUAACUUUCUACAGUAAUAACUGUCGACCGUUAGUUUUCAAAUCCCUAAAUCACUUGAUUGCUCGCCGCCCGGCAGUCGUCGAUCAGCCGCCGACGUCGAGCCUCCGCACGGAACUUCAUCAAAACCUCACCGGAAGACGCGCCUUCACUUUAACAGGUUCAACUCUAUUUUCAUUUUUUGGUUUCAAUGGUAAUAAUUAAGUAUUUAAGAUUUGUACUUUUAAUGGUCAUAAUAACUAAUUAUUAAGGUUUUUGAAGAUGUAAACAUGAAAUAUUAUGUGUGUCCAACUAGUUACAAUAAUUAUUAAAAGGUUUUCAAUGGUCUAAGGUUAUAAUUUUUUAUAUAUGUAAUUUUUAUUUAAUUUUCACUACCAUUUAAUAUUUGAUUUUAUUAUAGCAAUCGAUGGUAGAUCUUUUUAGCUACUUGUAAAAAUAUGGUUAUGGUUAAGAGUUAGAUUCAGCGACUAAGCCGUGGUACCAACAUUUGGAUCAAAUUAACUGGUGGAAUUAAAGGUGGGUUGUUGUGGUUGGUUAAUUAGGUACUGCAGGGAUUUGGCGAGUUAAAGCUAUAGUGGAAGCUGGUGGAUGGAAUGAUAGAACGACCGUUGAAGACAUGGAUCUUGCCGUUCGAGCAUGUCUCCAGGGUUUCAAAUUUAUUUACGAUGGUGACAUCAAAGUACGUAAUUAUUUCAAUAAUUUUCUAUUUAUAUAUAUUUUUUCCAUGAGAAUAAUAUUAAGUCGAAUUUGAAUGAGUUGAAGACGAUCUGUGAACUACCAAGUUCAUUUAAGUCGUACAAAUACCAGCAGCACAUGGUGUUGUGGCCCUGCAAAUCUGAUGAAGAAGAUAGGAAUUGAUGUGCUAUUGAAUAAGGUACGAAAGAAAUAUCUCAUAAAAUAUUAGUAGAUGUGUUAUUAUAUCUCGAGAGAUUAGACAAGUAUUAUAUUUAAUUACAUUGCGGGCAGAAAAUCAGCAUAUGGUUGAAAACAUACAUCAUAUAUAGCUUCUUCUUCAUUGGGAAAAUCGUCUCUCAGAUCAACACAUUCAUCUUGUACUGUUUCCUCAUUCCGAUCUCGGUUAUGAUCCCGGAGGUGCCCAUCAUUCCGAUGUGGGGGGUUGUUUAUGUUCCUAUGGGGAUCGCAUUGUUAAAAGGCUUUGGUGCUCCUAGUUCCGCUCAUUUGAUUGUGUUAUGGGUUCUCUUUGAAAAUGUCUUAUCGUUCCACCGUUUCAAGGCGGCCUUUUCUGGGUUUAUAGAGAUAGGAGGAAGAGUGAACGAAUGGGUUGUCACGGAAAAAUGUGGAGAUAAACAGAAUAGUAACGUCACUGCCAUUAACGAAGAUCAUGAGGAUAUAGGACAUGUAAUCAAAAGGGAAACACCAAGAACUUGGCACAGGUAUCAACAAUUGUCUUUGUUUAUUGGUUGAUUUAAUUUAGUUAUUAAUGGAAUCAAAUUUGCUGUAGAUUUCACAUCGGAGAACUCAUGGUAGGCGUGUUCAUAGCAACUGCGGGAGUUUAUGAUGUGUUGAUGAAUGAUGAUAAGUUUUAUUUCUACCUCUUCCUCCAAUCAUUGGCUUUUUUCGUCGCAGGGUUUGGUUUGGUCGGUUUAUAGAUUGAAAAAAAACUGUUUUAUGUAAGUGUGUAAUAAUACCCUUAAUUAAUUCUAUCGUUAGGGUUUCACUAAAUUUGGGGAGAUCACGGAUUUUUUUAUAGAUAUAGGCAUGUAAAUAAUAUACCGAAAUCUGUAUUCGUAUCCGUUUUCGAAUAGAAUUUCGGAUUUUAGAUACCAAAAAUGAUAUCCAAAAAUUAUCCGAAAGGAUUAAGAUAUCUAUCAUUAAAAUCCGAAUUCGGUUAUUAAUUUCGGAUACGGAUAUCCAAAUAUCUAUAUAAAUAUAAAUUGACUUUCGGAUAAUUUAGAUUUAGGCUGUAAAUGGGCCGAGUCUGGGACGGCUGGGCUGGACCCGGACCCAUGAAGUUGGCCCAAGUCUGGGCCUGGUCCAAGUCCGGAAGGAAAUUGUCUGGACCGAACCCGGCCCAGACCCAUUAAAAAAACCGGGUCUGGUCCGGGUCCAAAAAAAAUGUACUUUUUUUAAAAUCUAAAUAAACAAUAAAUAUACUAUAAAAUAUAAUAAUAUAUUAUAAAAUAAUUAAAUAUACUAUAAAAUAUUAAUGGUGUAUUUAUAUUUUACCUUUACGUUAUUAAUAUUGGAUGCAUUUCUGGGACUGGGACGGUACCUAUCCCGUGAGGCACGCCCAACGGACAUCCAAUCUCACCGUCGAAAACCUACUUUAAGCUCCACCGUCCGUCGUCGUUGUCAGGACUUGCGUGUCUGAUUUGACCCGACGAAGUACGGUCGUUGGUACCUGCCUGCGUCUACCAUACCUCCGCGACUGUAGCAAUUUAAUUUUUCGUAUGCUGUUUUAAAUGGGUUGGCUCGAUUAUCCCAGUAUAUUUACUUCGUCACCGUUUCGCCCUAGAAUCGUCCUCGUCUCAAACAUGUUGUCGAGAGACAAGGUCUGCCGGCUCCCGCCUCGCCGUUUCGUACUGUCGUCCUUCAGUUUUCUAUGCCGUCGUUGGAGAAUCGAGGUCUGUAGCUACCAUCUCGUUGUUUCCUCCCAGGAAUCGCCCCCCGAUUCUAGUUCGUCGUUGAAAAUCAAUCGCCCUAUUUCUGCGUGCCUAAACCUCGACCAAAAAUCCGACGUAGUACUGGUACCCCCCUCGGAUCCAUAUUUUUUCUACUGAUCACGUUUACAUUUUACAUUGUAGUCAAUAAAAUCGUGUAACUACAAAUAGGUAGUCAGCUAAUCAGGUUGAAUCGUAAUCCACAUAUUUUUUAAAAUUUCAGAAAUGGUAACACAUGUUCCGCAUAUGUUUUUUUAAAAUUAUUAUCCAUUUGUUCACAGUAACUUUCGUAUUUACAUUCAUACAUCUCUUCCAUCAACGAUUUGUUCGACUAUAGUUCGUGCAAAAGGAUAUGGUCAUUAUCACCUCCAUGAUUAGUUUAUCUUAAUUAAUAGUCUUGUAUUUUUCUUCAUUUUCAUUUUUCAAGGUCGUUUGUCAUCUGCAGAUUAGUUUAUCUGAUUCCGAUGAUGGUGUGGAGACAACCUCUGUGUUGUUAGGAAAUACUGGUAUGUUUUGUAAAUUGACAUUCGAAUGAUGAAUUCUCAUGUUUUAUUUUUACGUAAUGCUCUUUAUUUUGGGAUCAUUAUUAUAUGAAAAUUAGUGUUGUCACCAUUAAAUCUUGAUGGAAGCUCGGAUCCAACUACAGUAUUGCAUGAUUUGCCCCCACAUCGUAAUACUUCUUCAUUCAAUCAGCCAGACGCCCUCAUAUGUUCAGGUACACGAACUGCUUUAGACAAACGAAACCGCGAAGGGGAUACAUUUUGUAAUGGUAUGCUAUCCAUGUCCUAAAAAAUUGUACGAAUUAAUUAUUUAUCCGUAUGCGAUUUACUCUUCAUUCAUGUGUUUUAGGUGACCCUUGAUUCAAAUCUUCCUCCGCAACUGGAAUUCCCUGAAUCAUAUGUUCGUAGUGCCAAAAAUAGUACGAUGUUUAACAUGUUAUACCCUUUUUUAGUACUUCAUUUUGAUGGACACAACCUGUUUAAAUAACUGAAAUUGGAAGGUUUUUUCAGGUCGCUUCUUAGUUCAAAACAGGUGUUGUUGUGUUGUUACUGAGGGUAUUUCAACACCUACUUAUUGGUUGUCGUUAAAUUACCAAGUGAGUUCUACAAUCUUGUUGGUAGAAUUGGUUUUAGUCAUUUCCUUCGCAAUUGUAAUUUUGCUGUUAAUUCCUAUCAUUUGGAUGACCUUGUCGGUCGUUAUAUUGGGAGUUAUGAGUUUGUGCUUAAAAACAAAGUGGCGAAAAUGAUGGUAGAGGAUGUCGGUCAAAUACUUGGAAUUCCUAGUGUUGGGUUGCCUAUCAACGUCACACGGGACGAUGAGUCUUCUCAUGAAACUAAUUUUUGGCAGAAAUAUUUUGGGGUCACUCAGGUAACAAGGUGCGUACAGUAAUUUAAUGUAAUUGACUAUAUAUGGAUGUAUUAAAUCAUUAUUUUAUUAAGCCACUAAUAUCUGACACAUUUUUUAUUCAGUACCCUUGUUAAGGUUGUUUUCGUUCGACAUGUAUCAUCAGGGCUGCAUGAUGAUGAUUACGUUGUCGACUGUCUUAAAUUAUGGUUGUCUACUAUUUUCUUCUUUUCUUUUCCCGACCUCGAAGAUGACCUUAAAAUUAUUUCAUUAUCUGAAAAGAAUAGACGAAUUAGGUCGGUUAAAUUGGGCAAAACUAGUAAUGAACCAGCUAUUUAAGAAUAUGGAUUUGACGUCACAUUCUGUUCGUCGUAGAGAGAGAAUUGAAGAUCGAGCUGGAGAGUAUGUUCAUGGCUGUGCUACUGUGUUGAAUGUAAUCUCUUUGACCACUAUUAAUAUCCAUUAUUGUACACUUGUGUUUGCUAUUUAACCUACAAAUUACACAUGACGUAGGUAUUCCUGUGGGAACGAACGAACUUAUUUCCGCCGUCAUCAAUCUGCAAUUCGGUUAUUUUUCAGCGCUAUGAGGGAUCCACGAAAAGACGGAAACGCACUAUUAAUUGUCUUUUAGACGAGGAGGUACUCUCAUAUUUUCCUUAGUCCUCCAAUAAUUAUUAUUGAGGACUGCGAAUUCAAUAAUUUCUAUUGCAGAUGUACUCUGUUCCUCGUUCGUAUAGUUCUACACGUGCUCCGUUAGAGGUUUUUUAUAGUAGACCUUGUCAAAUAAUUCAUAAUAUGUAAUGAUGUUUUUUGGACAACUGCAAUUGUUGAUGUCAUGAGAUCUUCUGAAACAAUUAUUUCGUCCUGAAUAAAAUUUAUUGAAUCGAAAAAUAAUGGAUAGUUCUUGCACUAUCAUUUAUUUGUAAUAUUUGUUACAGGUUGGAGGAAAAGGUUGAUUCAGCCUACAUUGGUAGAAUUUCUUCGUCAACGAAGAUUUCCAAAUAAAAAUACAGAUCGAACUAAGGUAUUACAUGAUUAAUAUAUCUCCAUUCACUAUUUGACAAUUUUUCACAUAAUUGAUUUCCCUGUAGUAUGAUAAUUUGGUUUCGAGCAAUCCUUUGAUGCCUAAAGGUCGGUAAACUAACAUUUCUUCCUUAUUCAUUAUUAAUUAAAAUUAGGAAAUUUUAAUAUAAUUAUUUUUUUUUUAAUCUCCUAUAGGUAGUUACCACAAUAGCAAACAUAAGAAUAAUUGUGCCGAUCUUAAAACUGUCUCUGGAAUGAAAAUAGACAGUCUUUUCGUGGUUGAUCUGUGCACACCCUCUCCUAUACCAAUUGGCGAUAACUUGUCAAUUGGAAACAUAUCACCUAUCCCAGUAUCAUUUGAAGACCGGAACGACGUAUCUGUCAUUGAUACGGAUAUGUCAUAUACCACAUUAAAUAGUCCAGUAGUAAUAGAUGGUUUGGAUAUAUAUGACGACAUAUUCCGAGAUAGGCAACACCCUGAUGCUUAUCCACAAGAACUUACGUUAGAUAGUUCUUGUGAUCUAGCUAGCUAGGAUUCCAAAAAGUGUAGCCUCAGACACUAAAGAUCGAUGUCACCUCGGAACCUCCCACUACAAAAAACCAGCGCAGUUCUGGCGCCCAUCUCCCGGCGGCCAGGCCGACGGAAGGUUACACUUGUCCGCCUGCAUAAUUUUCCCUCGUAAAUGAGAGAAAUUAGCUGGCGGCCAGGCCGACGGAAUAUUUUUUUGUAAAAAAUGCCAGCGGCCUGGCCGCAAGCUCCAAUUUCACCAACGGUCGGGAAGAAGUUAUUCGGCGGCCUGGCUGCCAGCUCCAAUUUCCCCAACGGUCGGGAAGAAGUGAUCCGGUGGCCUGGCCGUCGGCAUACUAAAAUCCUCAACGGUCGGGAGAAAAAUUGCUGACGGCUUGGUCGCUGGAUACUUUUUCCCGCUUGUUUUUUUCAGUAGCCAGCGGCCUGGCCGCCAGGAUUUUUGGGAAACCCUAAAAUUACAACUUGCGCCGCCGUGGUGCCUCGUACAGUCAAACUAAGUCAAAACGAAACUUAAGUAUUUCCCGACGGCCUGGCCGCCGGGAAAUUUUUAUAUAAGAAAAAAAAUUCCAGAUUUCUUUCAUUUUCUUUUCCCCCAAAAACGUCUCCCACUCCUCCCUAAACCUCCCCCAACUUCUCUCCGGUGAUCUUCCAGCCAUUUCUCUCCGGUGAUCUUCGAAGUUCUUCCUAAAGGUAUGUUCUUCAUCCUCCAUUAGUUAUCUUCUUUUGUUAUUGUGUUAUCUUCUUCAUCUUUUUCUCUCCUUUUUUUUCUUGUUUAUGAUUUGGGGUUUAUGAUUUGGGGUUUAUGAUUUGGGGUUAUAAAUUUGAUUAUUCCUAAAAUUUCUGAAAUGAGAAGAUAUUUCAAGUGUUACCUUUAAAAUUCCUUGUUCUACCACUAGUCUUCCUGCAGCAGACGUUGCUCCUCCUGCUAGAAAACUUGAGUGCUGGAAUGUUCCUUUCUUCUUCUUUUGUAUCCAACAAAAGAAGAAGUAUUACUAUAAUUUUAGUUAUAAAUGAUAAUGUAUUCGAUAUUAGAUAAUUAUUGAAAAAAACAUACUUGUCCAACAUAGAGUUUUUUUGUAGGGCUCAUAACAAAUAUCCAUUUGGAAUCCUUGGGGCUUUGAGAAGUGUCAAGGAGCUCACCCAUUUGCUUGUGAACAAACUUUCCAUUUUUUACGACGACUUGGUAAUUCUCCCUUUCUUUCUGCAGAACAACAAUUGAGCAGGUUGUUGUUUUGAAAUCUCUGUAUUUAGAGCAUGUAAUAAAAAUGAUGUGCAUGUGUAUGUGAACAUACGGGUCCAAGAUACUUGAUGCAUUGCUGCUGAAGCCUUAACCGAGGACAUCGGUCAUGGUUUAUUUCCUUUCCAUUCCCCACAUCAAGCCUGUAAAUAUACAUACAUACAUACAUUAAGAAUUUUAUUUAUUUCAAUUGUCUGUCGUGGCGUGUUUGUCAUGUUUUUUUGUAUAUUUUUCAAAUUAGGAGGUGAGAUUACCAGUAGAAGGUGAGAUUAGGAGGUGAUCUUGAAAUUAGUAGGUAUUUUAAGAUGAGUUUACCAGUAGAAGAAGGGCUGCUUGCUUUCACUUUGUAGCCAUGAUACAUAAUAGAAAUGUAAAUUAUGUCCAUACCGAUGUCUUGGAUCAAUCUGCAGAUUUUAAUUUAUUGAUUUUCAUGAUUAAAGUUAUUGAUUUUUUUUUAUUUUAAUCUUUUAAUGUUUUAUUUGUGUGUUUGAUGGAAUAGGUAGUUGAUAUUUGAUGGAAUAGGUAGUUGCUGGAAUUUUAUUAUAGGUAUAUAGUUUCUUGAAUUUUUGUUUUAAUUUAAUGAAAUAGGUAUGUUAUGUUUUUAAUUUUUAAUCAAAUAGGUGUGUUAUGUUUUAAAUUAUUUUUGAAUUUUUUAUUUAAAUAUUCUGUUUUAAUUAAUUAUUUAAAUUUUCUCUUUUAAUUUAUGUCAUUUUUUAGGUUGAAUUUGAUUGAUCUCCGUUCUCCGCUGUGCCGAACUCUUUUUAAUUGUUGUUGGAUCAUCUCACGCCAGUUGUUUGUUUUGAUUAAGGUAUGUAAUUUACAAAUUAAUUAAGGUAUUUUGAUAUUGACUAUGUGUUGUGAUAUAUAGUUUAUGAUAUUUUAUGUGUUUUGUUGUGUUUAUUGAUCGAUAUAUAUGUUAUGUGUUGAUAUUUUUUUGUAGGUAUUUACGGAUAGUUGUAAUUAGCAUUUCCGGUUGAAAUUCAAUUUGCGUUUUAAUCUUCAUUGAUCGAUCAAUGUAAUAUUUUUUAUUCAUUUAUUAAUUAGUUAAUAUAAUUUGCAUGUUAAUUAAAUAAUUGGAAAAUGAAAUGCAUGUUCUUAAAUUGUGUGAAUUUAAAAUGAAUACAAAUUAUUUGAAAUGAAUGUUAUGAAAUAAUGAAAUGUCAUGAUCAAUGUAAUAUUUUUUAUUAAUUUAUUAAUUAGUUAAUAUAAUUUGCAUGUUAAUUAAAUAAUUGGAAAAUGAAAUGCAUGUUCUUAAAUUGUGUGAAUUUAAAAUGAAUACAAUUUUUUUGAAAUGAAUGCUAUAAAAUAAUGAAAUGCCAUGAAAUGAAUUGAAAUACAUGAGUUAAAAUGAAUGCAUGUGUUAAAAUGAAUGCAUGAUUUUAAAUUAAAUAGAAAAUUAAAUAAAUUUAAAAAUUAGUUAAAUAAAUGUUUGGUAAUUAUUUUAUAUAAAAUUAGGUAAAUAAUUAUUUAAUUGAAAAAUAAUUAAAUAAUUUAUUAAUUAAUUAGGGUUAGGGUAAGUUAAUUUAUUAAUAAUUGUUGAACAACAAUUAUUUCAAAAUUAAAAUCAUUUUUUUAAUUAAUAAUUAAAUAAAUUAUUAUUUGAUUAUAUUUAAAUAAUUAAUUAAUUAAUUAAUAAUUAAAAAAAGUAACAAUCAGAUUUUUUAUAAGUGUGAUUGUUAGUUAAUUUUUAAAUAAUUGUUAAAUAAUUAAUAAUUAAUUAAUUAAGAAAAUAUUGGAAAUUUCAUUAAUCAGUUUUUAUAUUGAGAACUUGAUUUAAAAUCCAAUGUUGAAAAUAAUUAUUUAAAAAUUAAAAUCAUUUAUUUAAUAAUUAAUAAUUAAUAAUUGAAAUUACACUUUUAUUAAUUAAUAAUUAAUUAAAUAAUUAAAUAAAUAAUUAAAUAAAUAAUUAUUUAUUUAAUUAUUAAUUAAAAAAAGUAACAAUCAGAUUUUAUAAGUGUGACUGUUAGUUAAUUUUUAAGUAAUUGUUGAAUAAUUAAUUAGUAAGUAAUUAUUAAUUAUUUAAUUAAUUAAUUAAGAAAAUAUUGGAAAUUCCAUUAAUCAGUUUUUAUAUUAAAAACUUGAUUUAAAAUCUAAUGUUGAAAACAAUUAUCUAAAAAUUAAAAUUAUUUAUUUAAAUAAUUAAUAAUUAAUUAAAUAUUUAAUUAAUUAAUUAAUUAAUUAAUAAUUUUUUAAAAAAAAGUAACAAUCAGAUUUUGAAGAUAAGGAAAAGCUGAAAUGGACAAAGGAAAAGAUGCAAUGACCGAAGCAGAGGUUGAAGAUAAGGUCAACAAGGCUGUUUGAGAGGGCGAUGGCUCGUCAGAAUGAGACGAUGGCUCGUCAACUGGCGUUUUUUGAACAAUACAACAACGCAAUGCUCGCUCAAAAUCCGAACUUGCGUUUACCGGAGUUUCUGCCAAUCUUCAACAACGAUGCAGCGCAUAACAUUUAUACUUUUGGAGCGUCAUCUUCUAGAGCCGCACCCUACUCAACUACCAACGCAAGAAACUACGACGCCUCUACAAACUACGCCACAAGAGGAGCACACCACUCCACAACCGCGCGGAGGAAGAUCGAUUAUAUUCACGAAAGAGGCAUUACGAAAGGUGGUCGCAACUAAAAAAAAGAAAAAAAGCGAAAAAAAGAAAUUAAAUUAGUGAUUAUCGAAGUUAAUUUUUGUUGUAAAAUCAAUAUUAAACUUCAAAUUUAAUUUAUUAAUUUCAUAUAUUAAAUAAUUUAUUAAUUUCAUUUUUUUUUUAUUUUUCAAAAGUGAUCCAGCGGCUUUGUCGUCAGAAAUUUUUUCCCGGGAAUUUUUUUUUCUUGCCGGGAAAUAUUGACCAGCGGCCAGGCCGUCGGAAAAUUAUUUUCCAAAAAUAACUGCCAGCGGCCAGGCCGCCGGAAAAUUAUUUUCCAAAAAUAACAGUCGGCGGCCUGGCCGGCGGGAUAUAAUUUUCAAAAAAAAAUGUCGGCGACUAAGCCGCCGGAACAAUUUCUGUUAAAAUCGGAAUCCAUAAUUUUUUUCCGACGGCCAAGCCGUCGGGACAAUUUCUGUUAAAAUUGAAAUCCACAAUUUUUUUCCGGCGACAUUACUUCCGGCGAUGGGAUAUCGUCGGAUUGGCCGCCAGAACUGCGCUGGUUUUUUGUAGUGUCCGUCAUAUGUUAAUAAUUGCAAAUUAAACACAAACUCUAAAUUGCCUGGUCCGAUCAUAUCUUCAUGUUCAAUGACUAUUUCUCCCCCGAGUUUUGAUCUAUUGUUCGAGGCCGUUGAUAGGGUUUUGGAUGGAGAAAUUGAUGUACCUACAUGUACAUCUCCUCCUCGUUUGAAUACCCAGGAUAGUGUUAGCAAUUUAACACCAUAUAGUUAUUCGAAGACGAAUUUGAUAGUAUGUGUUGAGGAAGGGAAGUCGAUGUAUGAACAAUUAAUUGAUGAUACUCGAUAUUAUCAUAAAUCGGUAAUGAAUGCUGAUGGCCUGCAUAAGUACCAAUUGCAUCUUUUGGAUGAAUACGGAGGUCCAGUAAAUAGUUUUUCAUCCGUCGAUAACUAUCGUACUCUAAAGGCUGUUAAAGACAAUAGUGAACCUCAAAAAUUGGGUUUUCGAAACUGGUCAUCUCGUCACCGGAAUUCUGGGCUUCCGUAAUAGAAUCUACCGAAGCUAUUGAAAACAGAAUGAAGACCAAAAAAACAUUUGCUACAGACGAACUAGCAUCAGUGGCCCGAUGUAUUGAUUUUACCUCGACACAGUCUUCUAGUCUAGACUUACAAUAUGUUUCGUCAUUGGUUAAAAGAGUGAAGGACAGGAAUGCAGAUAAGGUACACUACGAUUAAUUAAAUUAGUAUUUUUAAGUUUCAAAGAAUUAAUGGCUAACAUGACUCAAAAUUUUCUAUUGCCUGAAACUAGUAGAAGAUGCUAGUAUGUCGAAGGACGACCGAAAUCCUAAGAAGAAUCAAACAUCUAAAGGAUUGGUUCUGGAUUCGAAAUAAGUUUUGAAAGAUUUUUUUUCGUUUUCUUUAAUAACCAAUUUAUGUCGUUAAUCUAUUUCAAAAUCAUGCAAUUUCGAAGUGACAUACUUGCCUCCAAUAGGUACCGAUCGUUAUUCUUUUAUUUGAUAACGGACAAAUCUGUAUUUUGUUAUGGUGGUGAUCUCCGAGACAUAAUAGACCAUAAGAUCUACACUAAUUUGGUAUAAUUUCUUAUUAAAUAAACUAUAUUGUUUUCGACUUCAAAAAUAGUUAAUGAAAUGAAAUAACUUAAUGUUUUUGCAGCUAGUAGAUGUAUUUUUCGGAGUGAUUCACGUUGAACUAAUUGAAAAAUUAAUACUUACGGAUAAAUUUCAGUUCAUUUGUUCAGAUAUGUUUAGCGAUGACAAUGGACAUGAACAUACUCAAUCAGUACCUGAAAAUGUUUCGUCAUAUGACGUUGGUUCUAUUCUUCGUUUGAUCACUCGGAGGACUAGAGGCAAUGAUAAGCGGAAUUGGAAGUUUUUCAUCAUUCCCAUUCGUACUGUAAGUCAUUGGCACUUUCUAAUUUGGUCAAGGGUUCGAAACACCUAUACGCAUUAUGAUUCGAAUCACAUUGGACGUGAAUCCUUAAAUCUUGGAGCAGCUAAACGAGUGGUAUUUUUUGAAAUUUGUUUAUCCUACUUGCGCAGAUUGGUUAAUUAAUUGUCUUUUAUAUUUUCCGUAGAUGAAAUGGAUGUCCUUUGGUUCAAGCAAAAUCUUCUUUCUGUUUAUCAUGACGAGUCUAUUUUAAAUCAAUGUCAAACCUUUCCUCAAGAGAGUAAUCCGAUGUUAGAUGGUGGUUUGUACAUGUUACAUGGAAUCAGUUGUUUUAUUGAUUACAUGCAUAUUGAAGAUAGUAUUUUUAAUGAUUGUUCUCUGAAAUCUAAGAUGACAUGGAAGAAAUCUGAUGUACCUAAAAUUCGGAAUGUCAUGUUCCGGAGGAUCGCAGAGAGGGUAGAAUUUACGCCAUGGCACACAAAACUAGCAAACCAUAUAUCCAAUUCUCAAAAUUCAUGAGUUGAUUUCGCUAAAGAAUCAUAGUCUUGGCUGUUAAUCUUUGUAUCGUAGUAUUAUGUAAUAUUUUAUGUAUUGAUGAUAUUACUGAUUUACUAUUGUUAAUAUGUCUGAAUACAUUCCGUUUCAAUUGGGUAUAUAGGAUGUUUUGAAAAUACUGAAUGAAUGUAUUAGCGAUCUUGUUACAAUUGGAAAUAUGAAAUUCUGAAGUUGUAUCCCAAUUUCUAUGUCAUGUAAUAAUAUAAUUUCUUGUAUUAACGUUCGCUCUAUGUUCAGAAGUUCUCAAAGAAUGUUGAAAUGUAGUUUUCGAUUAAUUAUGAAGUCACUUAGGCAUAUUGGAGAAUACAACCACCUGACUAACCUAAAAUGAUAAAUACAUAUUUAUGAACAUAUAGAAAUGAAAACUAGAAAAAAAUUAUAACCCUAACCAUAAUUCAAACCCUAACCAUGUGGUGUUUUUUCCAAUAAAUUUUGAUAGAAUUGGCAUCGAGAUUUUCCAAACCCUAACCGUGUUAGCCUAAUAAUUGUUGUUUAAUCUGGAACAAUAUUGGACAUCAUCUUCAACUCACUAGCUCUUCCCAACUUCAUUGAUCUAUGAUUUUCUUGCAGCCCAGAGUGACACCUCACUAGCUUCAUUUCAUGUUGAUCUAUGAAUUUCAUUCCCAACUCACUACGUUUAGUUCUCAACAAAUGUUAAAAUACUUGAAUGAUAAAGUUUUUUAGCGGUACUGCAUUCUGAGUUCAUGUCCUUGUAGAAAUAUAGAUGUCAAUCAACAAUAUUCGAAAAUGAAACAAAUUAACUGAUAACAUAUUUACAUUAAACAACAAUGUAUUCAGUUACACACAACAACGACGACAAAAUAGAAGAACUAGAAAUAACUUAAAACCAAUGUCUUGUUUGUAGAUAUAAAUUUUGUAAGGGUCGAGACCAAGAUUGAGCCAGGUUAGCUUAAUAACUGGUGUUUUAUCUGGAACCAUAUCGAACUCGCAAGCGUCACCUACCUCGAGGUCAUGUUGGCAAACGAAUUCCUUCCAACCGACGCAUAGUCAGUAACCUGUAUGGUGGUAUGAUUUGAAUGUAUUAAUUUUUGACACAAUCAGUUGAUCCAGAUUAGCCAUGAUAUAUAUUGGAUCUCCGGCCUUCAGUAUCAGUUCUGGCUUCAAACACUUCGGUAUGGUCUGCGUUUUGUAAAUCAAAUUAUGAGUCUAUAAAUAAAUUUACGUAUAAGUCUGAAUGAAUUUAUACGAAUAUUUAUCAGAUACGGAUUUUUCCCAAGGACAUUUGACUUUGAUAACCUUGUUGACCACUCCAUCUUUGGUAACGUUCUAUGUUCCUCUGUACUAACUUCUGCUUGGUUUACAUUUACGUCCUUAGUUUCAUCUUCAUCUUCGUUUUCCUCUUCUGGGUCGUAUGUUGAUUCUGACACCUCCCUUUCUGGUUUUAUCGACUCCCUCACCUGCAUGAAAUGCGUCGGAAGCCUGAUUUUGUGUUUCCUUUUGAAUCCCUCGAUGAACGAGGCCGGUACUCCAUCCCUAAUAACAAUUACUAUGAUCGAUUUCCUCGGGCUAGGAUAGUAAAUGAACUCAAGUACGUUGUCCUUCUGAAGUCUUUCCUUUGAUACAAAUAUCCUUCAAUCUUUACUGACACAUGUAUGGGAAACACCCAACAUGGUCUACUUUCACAACAUAACUUUUCCUUGACAUUGGUUCGUAUAGUUCGAUAUCGUAAUUGUCAUUGAGUCCAGUGGCCUUCAGGAACCUCGCAGGAAUAGGCUAAAGACAUAUAGGGAGGAAAACAAUAUUAGAUUAUCAGAAAACUUAACAAUAUUAGGAAAAAUAGGAAAAACAUGACAUAAAUAACAGAAGAAGAAAAACCAAUCGUAAUAGAGGUUAAUUCAUCUGGUCAAGAUGAGUAAGCCAAUUUGAAAAACAUUAGCAAGUAAAUAAGCUAUUCAUGUAGUACUAUAUUCAACGUAAGGAAAAAAAAUUCAUGUCCAUGAUGGUAAUAAUUUUUUCAGAUUAGUAGGAGAAAUGUAAUCAGGGUCUUCUUAACUAGAAACAUUCAGAACAUUAGACAAAUCCAUACAUUCUUACAUGUGCGGGAAAAAAAAAUGUAGAGAUAGGGUGACAUAUAUGCAAAACAUUCAGACAACGUAAGUGGAGACAAAUGCUAAGAAAAUAAUUAUUUCACAUCAGAUGGAGAAAUAAAAUAGAUAUGAAAUGCAAUGACAUCUAUAGAAUAUCAGUUGGAAAAAUGCAUCUGAGAAAGUUCAAAAUAUGCCGAUUCAUUCUAUCACGACAAAAAGGGAAAUAAAUCAUAUUAGAAUCUCAGAAAACUUAAAAAUAAACAGAAGAUUGUAAAAUAAUGAUGGUGAGGACCGGUACCCUGGCCAAUUUGGGAAAAAACUGCUAAUGAUUGAAGUAAAUGAAUACCUCUGGCCUCGGAUAUUGUGGUCAUAACAAGAGGGAAAAAAACCAAUCGGAAAAAGAUUACUAAAUCUACUGAAGAUUAAUAAGGAAAUUUGAAAAACAUUAGUAAAGUGAAUAUGCUAGUCAUGGAGACGUUUUUAGAACUAAGGGGAAAAAAAUAUCAUGCCGAUGAUGGUCGUAUUUUUCCCAGAUCAGUAGUAGAAGUAUGUAGAACAUCAGAUCAUAAUAACUAUAAAAAAUGUAUGGAACAUUGAAAGGGAAAAAACAAACACAUGCUAAAAAAACAAACCAAUGACAACAGGAAACAAAUAUUUUCUUUAAUAAAAAUUACAUGUUCAAAAAUAUAUGGUAGAAGGGUUCCAUCUGUGAUCUGUAAAUAGAUGUUCAAAAAUAGAUGUUCAAAUAAGAUGACUACUAUGACAUGAAAAGGAUGAAUAUGGUGAGUGAUGAAGUACGAGAUCAGCUACCAGUAGGCUCGCAGGGUUGCGAGGAGGGCCGGAGGUUUUGGAGUCCACGACGUACGCUCUACAUCAAAUACCUGCAGAAGUGGAGGGGAAUCGGCGACUCACGUGGGAGUCGGCGACUCGGGCUCCUUGGUUGCUCUAGUGUAUAGUGUAGUCAAGUGGGAAUGACUUGGGAGUGGAGGACCCCCAAAGACCCCUUUUAUAGGGUCCUGGGGGUGUUUCCCCAUUCAUUAGCGUGGGGCCCACUCCAUUAUGGUGCCCAAUUAAGGGUGUCAUAAUGACGUGGGCCCUCCCAAGUAACGGCUGGGUAUCGACGACUCAGGUAUGGGAGUCGCCGAUUCAGAGGUGGAGUCGCCGAUUCCAGGGGUGAAUCGCCGACUCCAGACAUGGCACUCGGGUCUGGUAGACCGAGGACCUGACCACAAGGGAUUCACCCCUGGAAUCGGCGACUUAGUAAUCCCAGUCGGUGAUUCUCAGGUGUUGCCUUGAAUACUUAACGUAGACACUUGCUCCACACCGUGGAUGCCUUCCGGGGGUCCGGCGUAAAACGACGGAACCCUAGUCCUUGUUGAGGGGCGUUGCUGGAAGUGACCGACGUAAUCAGGCAUGUCUCACCAGUGAAAAUAUUUGAUGUAAAAAAAUGUGGAUGAAGACUUGAUAUUAGACAUUUGGGUGAAGGAAAUAGUCAUAGAAGAAGGUGAUAUGAAUGAAAAUAUGCAGAGCAACCAAAAAAAAAAAUGUCGAACAGACCAUGGUCCAUCCGUUGUCGUUGAAACGGGUGACAAACUCCUCCGGUUUCUCUCCGGGUGUUGGUGUACUUAAACCGCCGGUGGUCGGAUUUGAGGCCAUUUUCACACUCGCUUGGGAGAUGAGCGGAAGAACUAGGGUUUUUGGGGGCGGAUGUCAUUUAAUCAAAGGGGUUACAAAGGGUUUUUAUAAUGUUUGAAUGGGUUCUAUCAAUCAAUGAACAGGUGCUAUGAAUCAUUUAUUUCAAUGGCCGGUUAUUAUCAGAACACACAGAUGUCUAAUUUGACAAAAAAAAAAUUGGUAUACGAUGAUAGACAUCGCUUGAAGUUUUAUAAAAAUUAUACCUGUCGAUGACCUUCUUGUUGCCAAGUAUUGCUGGUAAUUCGCUAGAGACUAACCCAAUAGCAUCCAUCUUGGUAUUUUCUCUCGGACUGAUGUCUCUCUCCCCCUAUUACAUUUGUUAUACGAAAAGAGAAGAUAUGGGAAAUUCUAUGAUACGCUGUGGUUGCAAAUGACAUAUUAACCUGGGUAAUAUAGCUAAAAAAUAAUAAUAAUUCAAUUUCGAAAUAAAUAGAGUGACAUUCAGAGUUUGAUAUUCAUAUUUGACAAUCUAUCCAUUAAUUGAGUCUGAUAGUCAUUCUGAAAUAUAAAAAUUUCCACUGAUAGGUAAUACCAUCCUAGAAAAUCCUGAUAUUACAAUUCUGCUAAUGCAUUUGUCAUGGAAUCUUGUGCAAGGGAGACUACGAAUGGUAGUCCUUUGCACAAGUUCUAGCUGUGUGGCCUGGUUCAUGACAAUUUUUACAUGUUCGCUUCGAUUUAACCACCAAUUCCCUCGUCGAUUUGAAUCGGGGAUCCGCUUUACUUGGUCUGCCAGUGUUUUUGCCGCUACCCUUGGUUUUUGCCUUUUUAGGGUUUCCGACUAUUGGUUGUGUUGUUAUCCGAUCUUCGAACCAUUUGAUAGAUGUUCUGCUCGCAGAAAUUUUGGUAAUCUUAUUCCUCGUCUCAUAUUCGUUUAGAAAUCUCUGUAAUUCUUCGAUAAGGGGCUCGUUGACAUCUUCACUAUUAGUAAUUAUUUCUGCACAUCUAUUGAACAUCUGGUUUAGUUCGUUUGGUCGAGGGCAUAGAAUUUCUUCAUUACAUGUUGUCGAAUUCUUUGGAGUCUUUUUCCAUCUACUCAUAAUAAGUGCUUCUAGUAGUGUUGUAAUUCCAUUCGAUAUUAGGUAGUUUAUAAUAUAGCGACAUGGUAUUCCUUUGCUAGAGAACAGGCCGUAGGUACACAUCGAUGGAGCACUUAUAGAUGGACAGGUUAUUUUGGCACUUUGAAUUUGUGUGAACAUUCCUAUCACCGAAUAUUCAUUUUCGACCUGUAUGUAGUUUGUAAUCAAUAUGAAAGAUCAGAAACAUUCGUCUAUGUAACGGAAAAAUAAGUUAAAAAGGUUUACCAAUGAGUUUUUCUGAAUAUAAUAAGACAUGUUCUUCUGCACUUGUUGCUGGUAUAGUAGAAAUACUUCUGAUGUAUAUAUGCAAUGCAAACUUGAUUCUAUUGAUAAACGAGUAAUAAUCAGAGGAGGUGCGUCACAAUUUCUGUGGUCCAAUUUUUCCGAUCUUUCCCUUUGUGCAUUUAGUACUAACUCUAAUAAACAGACGAAUUCGAAUAAUGUAGAAAAGCGCUUCACAUUCAUCUUAGCUAGCGCAUUCAUACCUUUGCUUCGCUGAGUGUUCUGCAUCCCACCGAAGAAAUGGUUCUGCAUGUAAAUCGGACACCAUUUCGACCUUAUGGUAAACAUGCCGUUCAACCAUUUGUUUUUUUGUAAAUUGUUAUCCAAUGUCCAUUGAGCCCAGUUACUCUCAAAUUCUUCUAUUGUCUCCGAAGUGUUUAAUAUUUUGUUGAAUCUCUCCAUUUCCUCUUUCUUCCUAUAUACUUGUCCUACUUUGUCGGACAUUUUGUGUGUUAUGUGCUAUUUGCAAAGACGGUGAAAUGUAAGUGGAAAUUCACUAGAUAAUGCUACCUUCAUAGUUGCAUCUUGAUCAAUAAUAAUCGUACGAGGAUAACAAACCAUGCAUCUCUUGAACUCGGAGAAUAGCCAGAUGAAUGAUUCCGCUGACUCGUUGGCGAUGAAGCCUGUUGCAAAUAGUACGGUUCUUAAAUGGUUAUUAACCCCGCAGAAAAAACCUAUGAUAAGCUUGUACUUGUUUGUGUUGUAUGUCGUAUCGAAUGCGAUUGCUUCCCCAUAUUUUUGGUAGUCAGAAAUGCAUGUUGAGUCUGCCCAGAAUAAUUGUUUAAGGCCACCUAUUAUAAAGCGAUCUGUUAGGAUUUCAUUGUAAAUUCGGUUUAAUGUAUGAAGUAUUUAAGUAGGAAAUACUUUCGUCGUCUAGUUUGUAUGAGUAGUAGUAGUUCUUGUCCUUUUUCUUUAUGUUUUCUAAAUUCUGAAGUAGAAUGUCCACGUCAUGACUAUUCAAGUUUUCCAUGUCGUCUCUUCGAUGAUUGUUGAAGUCAAUCAUAGUGAAUGAAAAAUUAGAAAAACCACCUGAUUGCAUCGCUACGUAUGAGUAUUGCUGACUUGGGGGGAUGUUUGUAGCAUCUAAAUUGUAUAUUAAAUUCCUUGCGUAUGGUGUUAUCUUUUGAUUAAUCUUUAGGUACCUAUUCUUCCUAGGUGUUGACAAAUCAUGGUUGUGAUUCUCCUUCAAGAUUGAUAUCAUCCAUUGAUCUCCUACAAUCUUGAGAGACAUUGGCGCCUUGCAACCAGUUCUAGUAUUUCUGAUGUGUCCUAGCUUCGUUGAUUUCUCUAAAGGAUUUUGUAUUUUAGGAACGACUGCUUUAGAAAUCGCCUCCUUCGAGCAUACGUAUGUUUUCUUCCUUAGUCCUUGUUUAGAAUGUCUUGUUGAUCCUUUUCUGACUGAAAAACCCUUACUUCCGGCAUAUUUGUAGUACAAUUCCUCUGCUUCCUUUAUAGAAUCGAACAUCAUCCCGAUUUUUGGUUCUUGUGUUUGACUGCAAACAUAUUCUUAAGAGACACAUAAGGUCUUGAAAAUACAAUAAUGAUUUUUAUUUUCGUUGUUUAAACUAUAUGACCAGUUACCUUGGUGAUUCAAAAUCCUGGCCUAGUUCAUCAAUAUCUGGAAAACUGCAACGACAUUAUUAAAAUGAUUAUUCAUUCUAUGGUUUUUCGGUAAAUCUAAUGUUAAUAAGUGAGAGGAAACAUUGAUAACAUUAUGAGGACAAACCUGAAUGUCGAUUGAAGGCAAUGGUUAACUUCCUCACCCAGAAUUGUAUUACUAUCGCCUAAAUCUGUUGUGCCAAAAUAAAAUAUAUUUAGCAAAUGCAUAACAAGAAUACCUAUUGAAUUUUCAAGAAAUCAUACCAGCGGUGGUGUCCUGUGCCGAAGUUACGUUUACCUAUCAAGAUACCAGGAAAUGACAUAAGAAAGUGAGUGAAAUUCGGAAGAAGGAUUAAAGUAUUAGUUCGAAUUGUACCUCUGAUAUACCACUGUCCAUUUCGUUCCUCUGACUGUCAAUCGUUAAUUCAAUUACUUAAUCUUUUUUCUGAAAUUUUCAGUUAGAAAAUUUAAUCAUAUAAUAAUUUAUCGAUGCUAUAUGAAUAGGAUUUUCAGAUAUCUGUAAAAAAAUUCCCAGGUAUAAAAUGGAUUUCAUUACAAUAUCCUAAACAAUCAAAGAUUAUUAUGAAACAGGCAAUUUACCAAUAAAUUUAGUCAUUUUUCAAAAUAUAAGUUCACGGACUUUUCCACUCAUUGAAGACAUGUAGUAGUGCUCCAAUUAUUCUACAACUAUUUACCAUGUCAGUUCAAAAUUCACAAUUAAAUGGGUUUGAUGUUUAACAAUCUGUUUCAAUUUAAUGAACAGAUUGUAAACUUCAGUUCAUCUAUUAUUUGUUGUUCUUAAUUAAGGACAUCUGGGCCGACUAUUACUUUGUUGUGGUUACCAUGCUCCAGAAUCACAAAAAUCAUGUAAUGUUUGAGAAUUUCCACCAAAACAAAUUAAGAUUUCAUUCAUUUUCAUUGAAAACAGGCAUACGAUAACUUCAUAGUCUAUAAGUUGGAUUACAUUUGAUUUACUACAGCAACCCGCCUUCAACCAAAUCAUACAAAAGUUGUUAACCACUAACCCAAACAUUUUCAUUCAUUCAAUGAAACUACUCCCUAUGUGGUGGAGUAUUGAAGGACUUGCGCCACCAAUCAAUCCAUUCAUCGGUGUGUUCAAUUACAUGGCUAUCUAAUACCCUGUAAGACUCCUCCACAGAAUCCUCAUCGUCCGACACAGGUUCAGGUGCUAUCGGCAUCAAUGGCAUGAAGUUUGGAUGAUGCAUAGGUAUAUCCUGAAGACACCAUGCACAUUGAUUAAGUGAGGGGAAUCCAGUUUUCUGUGAGGUUGUGACAGGCGAUAUAGGGACAACUGAAUAGGUUCUUUAAAUAAGGGGUGCUAAAUUGGUGCAUUAUUCAUUGACAUUGGUGAAUAUGGAUCAAGACGUCUAGGCAUUAUAGGGUCUGGGUUUCCUCCUGAUGAUUGACCUCUUUGGAUAGAAUUUUUCCUCUUAAAAGGCCAGCUUCCACGCAUUUCAGAUACACCUUGUUCUGAGGAUUUUCUCGUUGGAAUAUGCUUCGAGGUAGUGUUUUUAGGGAGAUGACAGUCAGCUACAGUCCCAUCUUCAGAGUCGUCGUCACUAAUGACGAUUAUUUCCUUCAUCUUCCUCCGAGUCCUUGGAACAUGAUUUGUUUCGUCCGCGCCUCUUUUCCUAGAACUCAUUUGAAGACUGAAAACUUCCUAAUCAAUAUUUGUAUACUGUAUGGAUUUUGAAUAACAGACCAUGGAAAAAAAUCAGGAAUAAAUGAGACAAAUGUGAAGCAGAGGAAUACAUUGGACAAAAUCAGGAUUCAUGUGAUUUCAUUCAUGGAGAUCAAAUGCUCGAGAAAUCAAAACAAUUUUAUGGGUACAGGCUAUCAACUAAGUUAGAGAUGUGAAAAAACCUUCCGAUGACGAAGAUAUCUGCUCGUUUGUAGUCGGAUGAGGAGAUGAGAUGAGAUAAGGAGCGUUUAUAUAGGAUAAAUCGUAAUCAUUAUCCCUAGAUGCCUGGUCGUCGACCGUCGUAUUUUGUUUUCAGGUAACUUGGUAGGUAUGGCGUGGGUUACCAAAAUCGAUAUGUGAAUCGCGCACAGUAGAUGUAGAGAUAGCAGAGAGUCGUGAUGACCAAAUGGUUGAAGGGCAGUUAUAGGAAUGGGGGCGGAUGUCCGACGGUGACCUGUGGUCACUCGGGCAGUGGCUGUAGAGGUAGGAGCUCAUCGAGAAGGACGGUUACAGGAAUAGAAGUAUGGUCGACAGAUUAUCCGGAAGAACAGUUACAGGAACUAGGUGGGUGUCGGCGAUCGGUAGUCACUGUACAAUGUCGCGUCUACGAGUACUACCCUCGCAGGCGAUCAUACCUCUACAGUUCGUAGGCGUGUGGAUUCACGCCUUUUAUUCAAUAGUUUGACUACAAAAGGUAAGUUGUUUGUCUCGCCCGCAGAACCGUCGAUCGCCUUAUCGACGACGUGGAUGGACAGUACCGUGCGGAAUCCGGUGAGGUGAUAUUUUUUGUAUUAAUAUAUUAUUCAAUAUAUAUUAAAAUAUUUAUAUUUAAACCCUAAUUUACUAAAAUAUUUAUAUUUAUCUAACAUUUAAAAUAGCCGGGUCCAGACCCGGACCUGACCCUCCGGGUCCAAACCCUUUAGCAGGUCUAAAAUCAGUCUCAGACCCGAGCCCGGACCCGUUGAUAGCCUUAUUCAGAUUUUAAAAUGAUUAAUUAACUAUUAAUUAACUUUAUUAAAAAUGAUUUUAUACUUUUAUAAUUUUAUUUUAAUUUUUUUUUAUAAAAAGUUAUCCAUAUUAUUUGAAUGGAUUCAGAUUAUGUAGAUAUUAUCCAGAUUCGGAUACCAAAGUAUCCGAGUUGAAUCUAUCCGACACGCAUGCCUACAUGUAUGUCCAUGGUUGGGAGUCAUUUUAUCCGGAUCCACCAUAGCCCAUAGGAGGUUAAAGUUCUUUUUAUAUAAACGUAUAAGUACAUGAUAUAUAAUUAAAUAUAAAUUAAAAUACAUACACUAAGACUCGAAUUUUAAACCUCUAACAAUUUAUCUACGUGACUGUUGUCAACUGAGUUAAUGACCAGGUAUCUUCGUCUCUACUUGUCCCGGAUCCGGUUCAUAUAUAUGGACAAGGAUAUUUUUACGACCAGAUGAAUUCUGAAUUUGGGAAAAAUGGAUCAUCACCUAAAGAGACAUCUACUGGUAUGUAUAAUUUAAUCCACCAACCAGUCUAUCAACACAAAUAUUUCAAAUGUGAUAGCUUUUUUAUUUAUUGUUUUUUCCAUCAAUCAGUCUUUUUACCGGUAUUUUUCUGAGCAAUAUUCAUCAUGAGUCAAAAAUGAAAACACUACAAAAAAAACCCCUUUAACAGGUUACCACACAGUCAAUGAAAAAGGAUGAGAGACACUGGGAAUAAGGGAUUUCAGAGCCUUAGAAGUUAGAUGAGACGACCCCGUCGUUGAAGGAAGCAAUUAAUCACGUCACGUCGCGGGAGAAUCAGCAUGGACUAUGUGGAUGAAUGCCAAAUAUACCAAAGGGAAGGGGAAUUAAUCAAAUCCAAAAUAGGAUUAGUGAUUCAUUUAGACGGAGAAGCAUUCUGUCGGUGAAGAAUAAAAUUGAGUAGUGCGCAAAUCUGAAAUCAAAUGGAGAUUGAGAAUGGAAGGGAGAAGACGGAGAUCGUCUUGUCUUUCGAAGUUGUGCUAAAUAAAUCUGAUUAUUCGUUCUGUUUUAUUAAAUGUUGAUCAAAUAAAUAUUAUCGAAUGUGUAAGACGUAGUUUAAUACAUAGGUAAGGUAAGUGACAAUAAAAGAGUUGUUGGAUUAAGCAACGACGGACGGAAUCGAUUCGACGUAAGAUAAUCUAGUUACAUUUAUAUACAACACAGUAAAAAUUAAAGGAGAAAAAGAUGAAUAUGCAUUUGUAUCAAUUUUUAGUAAACAUUUUUUUAUUGAUGUUCUUUAUCUCUACUAUCUAUUUUUGUUGAAAUAUGCAAAAUGUUAGCAUAGAGAUAUCAAAUAAAAUGCUUAUUAAAAGUUGAUGCUUGAUACUAUCAUACUAUAUAAGUUAUAAAUAAGAAUAUUAAAGGAAAAUUGUCAAAUGUACUCAUCUAAAGUUGUUUUGAAAUUAAAAAUAACCAUCUAUAUUUUUUUUGACCAUUUUAUCCUUACAAUUAAUUUAAAUUUUCAAAGAUGUGUCAUUGAUUAAAAAAAUAACGGGUAGAUAUUUUGGGGGAGAAAAACUACCCAUCGUCCUCCCCCUCCCUCCUCCAACCUUUGGUCGUUCAAUCCCAAUGCAUCCCUAUCCGCAUCGAAUCUUUUCCCAAAUCUGUCAUCCUAACCACUUUCUCUGGACGUCACUAAUCCGUGGCUAGUCCCUCCUCCACUGCCAUCAUACAACGACUUUCUCAUUUUAUUCCCAAAUGAAACUUCACCUCCAUCCUUCAUCCUCCACACCUCCGCUUAACUUCAGCAUCAACUUUAUCUUCUCUACUCUGCUCAAACUUACGACCACCAUCUGUUCUCUCUCCGCUGGAUCCCAACUGCACGGUCAAAUGAUUUUCACUGGUGGGUGUGAUUCCAAUGUUUUUGUUAAUGAUACUUUGAUUGAUAUGUAUGUAAGUUGUUCUCAAUUGCAUUGUGCACGGAAGGUGUUUGACGAAAUGGUUGAUAGAGAUGUAGUGAGUUUGACAAUCAUGAUUGUUGGAUAUUGUAGAGUGGGAGAGAUGGCUAUGGCAGAGGAGUUAUUUCAUAAGAUUCCCGUGAAGGCUCAUCGUAACGGGUCAAACCAACGGGUAUUAACUAAUGAGGGAUAUAUUAGAAAAAUUUAUUUCCUAACAACCCUUAACCACCUAAGACUUAGACUUGGUGGUUAAUUUUGACCACCAAUCCAUCUUAGGUGGGUACUUUUGACAUUCACCCAAUAUUAAAUAUUCAAACCCUUCCAAAUCUUCACAGCUCCCACCUCUCCAAUCUCUUCAUCCCGAAACAAGGUCCGUAAUUCAUAUGCAUGUCGAAUUCCGUCAACAAAAGCUCCCAUUCGCACUCUUCUGUUUCGAUCCAUUCCAAAAAAAUAAAAUUCAGAACAAAAGAACAUUUUGAUUUUGAUUUGCUACUACUACCUUUGGCGCCGGCGGCAGUUGUUUGCUUUUCCGAUAGAUGCGUCUUUUUCUUGGCCGAGGAUUCCGAUUUCGUAAAGCCGAGAUCUUUUCUGUUGGAUUUUACUUACCGGUAGAAAUCCUGGACGUUGUUGGACG